GGCAAUUAAUUAUCAUUUGUCCUAAACACAAUACCUUAGUACUCCUUUGUUCAUUACACAAGGAUCUUCAUUCACCAAUGAAGGAUAUUGUUAUGAGAGCUAUGGAGAUUUAUCAAUUGGCUGAGGAUAGUAAAAAAAAGGGCUGAAUUGGUUCGUCCCAAAGCAAGGUUGCAGCCUAAUGGGAAUGAUUGUGGAUAUUAUGUGAUGAAGAAUAUGCUUGACAUUGUCUCUGCUAAUAUUACUAAGUCUUGGAAUGAGGUAUUCAAUGAUCCAACGGCAUUAACAGAAGAAGAGUUGUAUGAUUUGCGAAACAGUUGGGCAACUUGUUUUCUAGAGUUGAUUAAACCUUAGAAUUUAUCAGGUUGAUUGAAUUGCUGGGAAUUUUGCUGAUAUGGACAGUAGAUUGGUGGAGAGAUGAUUGAAUGGAUUCAUAUGAGGCACUUUUUCUGCUGAAUUGCGUGGCUCAGAAUUUCAAGUGGUAGUGAAUCUCUUUUUGUUGUAUUGGUGGUCUUGGAGGCUUGGUAAAAUUUGGGAUAGGCACUAACAUUUGGGCAGUUUGUUGCCUUUGGAUUAGUAGCUUUAGAGUUCUUACUACCUUAGUCUUUUCUUUAGCUUAGCUAGUUUAUCUUUAGCUUAGCUAGUUUUGGUUACUUUGUAUUUUGGCUUUGGACCGUUUCCUUGGUUUUUUCCAAAAAAUAUUUGGCAAUGCAUGAUCAAUUAUUAAUUAUCAAUGAAUAUUCAGCUCAAAUUACUGUAAAAAAACUGAAAAAAAAAAAGGAAAAAAAAGGACAUUUCACCUCG